rnacentral:rRNA from 1 species
GAUGAACGCUGGCGGCGUGCCUAAUACAUGCAAGUCGAGCGAACAGACGAGGAGCUUGCUCCUCUGACGUUAGCGGCGGACGGGUGAGUAACACGUGGAUAACCUACCUAUAAGACUGGGAUAACUUCGGGAAACCGGAGCUAAUACCGGAUAAUAUAUUGAACCGCAUGGUUCAAUAGUGAAAGACGGUUUUGCUGUCACUUAUAGAUGGAUCCGCGCCGCAUUAGCUAGUUGGUAAGGUAACGGCUUACCAAGGCAACGAUGCGUAGCCGACCUGAGAGGGUGAUCGGCCACACUGGAACUGAGACACGGUCCAGACUCCUACGGGAGGCAGCAGUAGGGAACCUUCCGCAAUGGGCGAAAGCUUGACGGAGCAACGCCGCGUGAGUGAUGAAGGUCUUCGGAUCGUAAGACUCUGUUAUUAGGGAAGAACAAAUGUGUAAGUAACUAUGCACGUCUUGACGGUACCUAAUCAGAAAGCCACGGCUAACUACGUG